UGUUCAUCUCUGAAUGAUGCAUAGUGUCUGCCUGCCUCCUAUUAAAAAACUGCUAUGAGCAGCGGCUGGCAGGCAGGCUGGUCAGCAGUGAUUCAUUCCCUGGCAGCUAUGGUGAGCAGCAUGGGCUAAAUUCAGCCUGAGUGGAGGUAUCAAGGGAAAAUGGCUAACAGUGAGUUCUGUAGCUUUUCCUGCUCUGCAGCCCCUCUGGCUUAGCCAGCUGGAUCACACUGAAUUAGUCAAGUACUUCAUUAUCUCCCUUCUCUGCACAUUUUGCUCCAGGACAAGCUCCUUGCUCCAGCCACCCACAGGUGGGACCUGA
rnacentral:lncRNA from 1 species